AUGGCUCAGAGCGAACGCUGGCGGCAGGCUUAACACAUGCAAGUCGAGCGGGCGUAGCAAUACGUCAGCGGCAGACGGGUGAGUAACGCGUGGGAACAUACCUUUUGGUUCGGAACAACACAGGGAAACUUGUGCUAAUACCGGAUAAGCCCUUACGGGGAAAGAUUUAUCGCCGAAAGAUUGGCCCGCGUCUGAUUAGCUAGUUGGUAGGGUAAUGGCCUACCAAGGCGACGAUCAGUAGCUGGUCUGAGAGGAUGAUCAGCCACAUUGGGACUGAGACACGGCCCAAACUCCUACGGGAGGCAGCAGUGGGGAAUAUUGGACAAUGGGGGCAACCCUGAUCCAGCCACGCCGCGUGAGUGAUGAAGGCCCUAGGGUUGUAAAGCUCUUUUGUGCGGGAAGAUAAUG
rnacentral:rRNA from 1 species